CCCUUAGAUGUUCUGGGCCGCACGCGUGCUACACUGAACGGUUCAAUGGGUGAGGUAGUGCGAAAGCAUGACCCAAUCUCAAAAUCCGUUCGUGCUGGGGAUAGAAGCUUGCAAUUCUCCUUCUUGAACGAGGAAUACCUUGUAAGCGCGAGUCAUCAUCUCGCGCUGAAUACGUCCCUGCCCUUUGUACACACCGCCCGUCGCUACUACUGAUUGGAUGUUUAAGCGAGGUUCUCGAACUGCUAGCGACUUAGCUUCGGUGAGGUCGCAGUGUGGGAAGUGAACCUAGCUUUGGUGUCUAGAGGAAGUAAAAGUCGUAACA
rnacentral:rRNA from 1 species